rnacentral:tRNA from 1 species
GCUUAGUUGGUAGUGCGUCUGCAUUGUAAGCGGUAGGCCGCGGGUUCGAUUCCCGC